rnacentral:rRNA from 1 species
GUGAGGAAUAUUGGUCAAUGGGCGAGAGCCUGAACCAGCCAAGUCGCGUGAAGGAAGAAGGAUCUAUGGUUCGUAAACUUCUUUUGCAGGGGAAUAAAGUGCAGGACGUGUCCUGUUUUGUAUGUACCCUGAGAAUAAGGAUCGGCUAACUCCGUGCCAGCAGCCGCGGUAAUACGGAGGAUCCGAGCGUUAUCCGGAUUUAUUGGGUUUAAAGGGUGCGUAGGUGGUUUGAUAAGUCAGCGGUGAAAGUUUGCAGCUUAACUGUAAAAAUGCCGUUGAAACUGGCGGACUUGAGUGUAAAUGAGGUAGGCGGAAUGCGUGGUGUAGCGGUGAAAUGCAUAGAUAUCACGCAGAACUCCGAUUGCGAAGGCAGCUUACUAAGCUACAACUGACACUGAAGCACGAAAGCGUGGGGAUCAAACAGGAUUAGAUACCCGUGUAGUCC